CUGCUCCCCUCUUACAUGCACUCCUGGCAGCUUCCAUCUGACCUUCAGCAUUGCUCGCAAACAGCUCCAUCCCAUCUCAAUCACUCUCUUAGAUGUUAACAGCCCUGCAAUGGCCAACAUCGAUAUUGGCUGCCCAUAACAAAGCUAUUACAGUGACAUUUUGGUAGGAAAUGGUGGGAAAGCUGCAGCAAUCAGACAGAGCUAUAAAAGGUUAAUGAAGAUGAAAGGACAUUAAAAGCAGAGAAAAAGCGCAGGCAGCCAGAGAGAUUUUGGCAAGAUUUGCUAAGCUGCUGCCGAGCCACAUGCUAAUACAUUUCCUGCAUUUCCCAAUCGUUUCCAGUAGCCUCAGCAAAUCUGUAUCUCGGAGUGAAUCAGGAGGAACGCAGAGCUACUGUGUGGCUGGUAGCAUUUGCAGUCAUCCUCGUCCAUUACUGAGCAGAAUGUUCCUUUCUGAAUGAAGUUGGGGAAUAAAAGAUCAUUUUUGGCUGGGCAAAGCAGGGAGCUGAAGUCACGAGUGCUCGGGCUCAGCCAGGGGGGACUCGUGGAACUGAGGGGUUAAUGCUGUGCUGCUCACCUGGAGGAGAUCUCUUCCCAAAUCCCCCUGUAUCUUUGGAAGGAAGAUGUUUCACUUCAUGCUGCCAGGGCUGCUAAGAACAAGCAGUCCUCCGGUACCGCUGGGUAGGGCAGGAUGCUGCAGGGCAAUUGUCAAAGCAGGGUGGGGGAAGCUUCCAAAUUCCUCUCCAUCCUCAUCCCCGGACAAUUCCUGACACCAUAUUUGCUGUGUAAUGUUCAAAUUUUGUGUUUAUGGAACUUCAGCCAUUCCCUUUGGAAAGCCAUUAAAUGCCAUAUCAGAUGUCCUCACUGCACUUUUCUUUGUUGGUUGCCAUGCCAUUGUUUUCCUCAUUCUCUCUCUCACCAACGAAAAUAUCCCUCCUUCCUUACCAGCACUUCAGGCUUUCCAAUGACUGCUGCUCUUACCUAACCUCUCCCCUCCUCUCCUCCAGUGUCAGACUGGUGCUUAGCUAAGCUAUGCACACAUCUCCUUGUCAGCAUUGCAUACGUAAAUCAUCCUCUCCAGCACAUCCUCUCCAGCACACUGCCGGUGCUAUUCUCCAAAUUCCUGCCACUCAUCACCGCCAACUCAUCCUUCAUAUGGUCAGCCACCAAAGCUUCACCAUGCUUUUUCCAGCUUCCCCGUCUCACUAGAGAGCAGAUUAGUUUUAGAUGUGUUUACUUAGCUGAAGUAUUUCCAAAGCAAGCCUAGCUUUGUUCUGUUGCUCAUUUCUCCCUGUUCCUUCCAGUCCCCUAGGUUUGACUAUGCUGCACAUACUGCUGAGAUCAUUUCUGGAGGCAGGGUGUUUGGCCAGCUUUGUCGCCAGCACUCAGUAACCCAGAAGACACCUCUUUCAUCCCAAUCACUCAUCUUUCUGCAACUAUUAAUGACAGAAUGGCUUUGGUUGGUAAUGGGGCACCCACAGCUCUGGGCAGCAGUGCCAGAGCCUCACCAUCCUCUGAGUAAAAAAAUUCUUUCUAACAUCUAACCUAAAUCUCCCCUCAUAAAGCCAUUCCCUCUUAUCAUACCACUAUCAGACUGUGUAAAAAGCCAGUCUCCCUCCUGCUUAUAAUCUCCCAUCAAGUACUGCAAGGCCACGAUAAGGUCUCCCUGGAGCCUUCUCUUCUCCAGGCUGAACAAGCCCACUUCCUUCAACCUUUCUUCAUGGAAGAGGUGCUUCAUCCCUCUAAGCAUCUUUGUGGAAUCUUCUGGACCUGCUCUAACAGCUCCUCAUCCUUUCUGUGCUGGAGGCCCCAGGCCUGGAUGCAGUACUGCAGAUGAAGCCUCACAAAGGCAGAACAGAGGGGGACAAUCCCCUCCUUGUCCCAGUGUCACCCCUCUCUUGAUGCAGCCCAGGACACAGCUGGUCUUCUGGGCUGCAAGCACACACUGCAGGCUCAUGCUCAGCUUCUUGUCCACCAGAACCCCCAUGUUCUUUUCGGCAGGGCUGCUCACAAUGAGUUCUUCUCCCAGUACCCACAGCUGGGAUCAUCCUGAUUCAAGAGUAGUACCUUGCACUUGGCCUUGUUGAACUUCACUGGUUUCAUGUGGGCCCACUUUUAAAGCCUGCCCAGGUCCUCCUGGGUGCCAUCCCUUCCUUCUGAUCUAUCAGCUGCACCACUCAGUUAGGUGUCAUGUCAAGGGUACAUGUAGGCAAACAAACUUUACACCUAACUGAGGGUCAAUACAGUUUGACUUCGGAGAAUUUGAGCAACUACUUUCACCUUUGCCACUGCCACCCUAAGUGGGAUUCAGAGUGGCAAACACCCCAAGAUCAGCCAGUCCAGGCAGCAGAACUCUGGUGCAGGACAAUCCCCAUGCUGACACCAGUCUCAGCCUCAGGAUUUCUGUGGCCAUGACAAACAUCAAGCUGGCAUUCAAUUUAUGCGAGCUGCUGUGUCCGCACUGCUUUCAACCAGCUCAGUGAGCAAGUCAUCCCGACCAGCUGGAUUCAUGGGGAUUGCAGCCGGUCCUACUUCACACCAUGUCAGAUUAAACUGCAGAUUAGAAACACCACAGAAGAAAUAUUAAAAAGAGACCUCGCAUCCUAAUUGUUUCCUGCGAUAGGUAGGAGCUCAAUUUUAUUUUUAAACUCCUGAGCGCUGAGAGCCAAUAUUUUGGUGUGAAAAAGCUAAAGAAGCAACUGCUACCUCACCGUGAACAGGUAACAACACCUAGAGCUUAGUCUUACACCUUAAUUUGUUCUUAAUAUUCGCAUCGUGGCAGCAGCCAGGAGGCAUUAUCAAGCUAAGUGCUCCUUUGUGUCAAUACACAGCAGCAGAAAAAUCCCUCACCCAAAUGAGCUGUGAUUGUUGGAUCCGCUGGAAGAAAGCCACGCUCUCUCUUGUGUCGCAUUAAUGCACUUUUAGCAACAGAACUGAUUAGGAUUCCUGGUUUGGAUUUGCUCAGAUGGCGCUUGGGUGGGUUUUUAAUCCUCGGGAUAAGCUGGGGAUGGAGAAUUGGCCCUUUAGGUGUGAGGGCAUCUCUGGGAAACAGUUUGCACCCACAAAGUGAGGCUGGUGGCUGAUCUGGGGGUGGCAGCUGAUAAUGAAGUGCUGAUUAAGGGCCAGGAGGGGGGAUUUUUGGCCUUCAAGAAGCAUCAGACAUCUCUGCCUGAAUCUGUCCCCACCAGCACAGAAACCCAGUGCUGAGGAGUCUCUGUUUCAAAAUGGCACCCGAAGCCAAUGCUCUUUCUUAUUCUCAUGGGUGUCAGUAAGAUUUAUCCACCGAGAUCUUAUUUUCCAGCCUGUCUCCUGGUUUGUUUGCUCAUUCUGCACACUGGGUUCAGGAGCUGCUCGACCCUCCCCCAAAACUCUCCUGCUCGUACUGGAGGGCUAUAAAUCCUAAUGGGCUGCAGCCCUGUCCAUCAUCCGUGCUCUGUAUUAACCCUGUGAAACUUGGUCACCCGGAUCUGAGUUUCCCAAGCUUUGAAUCCUUAUCCACUGCUAAAACCCUUCAGACAGCCAAAGAAUGAAAUGUGCGCAGCAGCAGGCAUUUCUAAAGAAAACUUGAUGGCUUUCUGACACCCGACACAUGCAAUUCCCAACAGAGUUAAUUGAAGCUAAUUCCUCAAAGGCUGAGAUGAGAAUAUCCCCAUAAAUUAUGUUCCUGCUUCAUUCCAGACAAGAACGGCAUGAAUGCAUUACACGCAAUCCCUCAAUUUACAGUAUUAAAACUGGCAAGUCAAUCAAGGAGACAGCGUAAAGUCACUUGAAAGCUGAAAUUGAUGUUCAGCCCCACUCCGUCUCUACUGCAACCUGAAGGGUUUGUUUCUUUUCGAGGGCAUCUUUCAUAUUUCCACGCACAGCAGGACCCCCUUGGGAAGAAAAAGCCUUGUCCUCGGAUGCAACGUGGGUCUUCAGUGAAGAGCCCCAGCCUGGGGGUUUUGCUGGGGUGGAGGUUUUCAGGCCCUUUAAAGAAGCAGCUUUCAAAGGUUUCACCAGAGACUUUUGGGCUUUCCAAGCCACAGGGAAAACAAUGUGGGACG
ensembl:lncRNA